GGUGCUAAUUCCUGUAAAUACCAUCUAAUUUUAUUUUAAGUUAUAUCUGUCAUUUUCUUAUCCGCCGAAAAGGAAAGGGACGGGUAAUCGACAAGCAUAAAAAUGGAACACACGUCAAUUUUAAGCACAAAUCUAAAACAACCGUCUAAAAAUUCGCCCGGGUUAUUCAUUUAUUUACUCAUUCUUCCUAAAAUUAAGAGCUGUCAAUCAUCCGUCCCUUUCCUUUUCGGCGGAUAAGAAAAUGACAGGUAUAACUUAAAAUAAAAUUAGGUGUCUGCAGGAAUCGGGACCACUAAACUUUAAUUAAGCAAGCAGCAUUUUAUUAUCGACUACAAGAAAUCUGUAUUUACGCAUUGUAGAGUUAAUGCCCUAUUUCCGUCACUAGAUGGCAUUGUACCAAAAAACUUUUGACCUUUGAUGUUAGUAUUAUUGUGUUGUGAUUAUGUUGGCAGUUAUUUCCUAUUUUUGUUUAUGUUGUAUGGGGUUGGUAUUUAAUAGUGCUUUUCACAUUUUUUUUUUUCAUUAAAGUGUUUUUUCAUUACCGCUGAUUUCUGCAGACACGCUUAAAUUUAUUUUAAGUUAUACCUGUCAUUUUCUUUUCCGCCAAAAAGAAAAAGGACGGUUGAAAUGAAUGAAUAACCCGGACGAAUCCAAUAGUCAUCUCGCUAGUAUGGAACCCGUUUCACACGUGCUGUCAAUCGUAUUCUGUCGGGUUAUACGUUGACUUUUCUAAACGUGUAAUUUUGCAACUGUUUAUGAUUUCUGGCUGAAAUUGACGUAUAACGUUCGUUUCUCAUUCGCCGAAAAGGACGGGUAAUCAACAGGUAUAAAAUUUAUGGACACACGUCAAUUUUUAACAGAAAUCUCAAUAAUUUUAAUAAUUUUCCACUCGUUAAUUACCCGACAAAAUAAAGGCGACAGCAGACGUAAAACGGUUUGCAUAUCAGCGAGAUGCCUAGUUGAUUCGCCCGGGUUAUUCAUUUUAAAUUAACAGCUGUCAAUCAUCUGUCCCUUUCCUUUUUGGCGGACAAGAAAGUGACAGGUAUAACUUAAAAUAAAAUUAGGUGUCUGCAGGAAUCCGGGUCACUGUUAAAGUUGGUAAAGUUUAUUAUUUUUGGUUUAGGUGUUAAACUUUAAGGCUUAUUUAUAUUGGGCGUUUUAGAUGAAUAUUUAUCCCACUGCUGGGCAAAAGAAACGUAAAGUCACGCCCGUAAGCCCUAAUGGGGUGGGCAGAUGUGAAAUGAAAAGCAAUCUGGGUUAAAAAGGCCACAUCGCAGCAAUUGCAAACAAAUGUUAAAUAGCAAUAUUGCUUUUUUAGAUUUAUCGCUUCGAUGUGGAGUUUUUACCAGUACAGUCAUGACCAAUAUAAUGUACCCACUUUAGGACUCUGUCGCAUUAACAUAUUUGACAAUUAUUGAGAGUUACAGUUCAAUUUGUCAAAAAAGUUAAUGUGACAUGGUAUCAAAGUGUAUACAUAUUAAUGCUCGUGACCGUACACCCCUCCCGCCUUUUUAAGUGCAGCCACACUAACGAAGUUCUAAGUGUCCCGGAUGACAAGCACCACUUGGCUAGACAAAUGUGUUCACUAAUGUAUAUAAGCUAGUAGUCCUUUACCCGACUGCUAUAAAGAAGGUAUUGUAUAGAGUAGCGGCCAAGUAUCCAAAAAGUAUGUUUUUUGUAGUCCCACAGUAGACAUGAAUUGAAAUUCGUUGAAUAUUGGAAUAGUUACAACCAUUCAAAAUCAAGAACUUAGAAAAAAAAAAGGAAAUCGUGACGUCACAUGUAAAAUUAAGUGCGCAAUGAUGCUGAUUCCUGUACGGUCACGAGCAUUAAUAUGUAUACACUUUGGUACCAUGUCACAUUAACUUUUUUGACAAAUUGAACUGUAAGUCUCACUAAAUGUCAAAUAUGUUAGUGCGACAGAGUCCUAAAGUGGGUACAUUAUAUUGCUCAUGAUUGUACACACCAUCUAAUUUUAAGUUAUACCUGUCUUUUUCUUAUGCGCUGAAAAAGAAAAGGACGAGUAAUCGACAGGCAUAAAAUUUAUGGAACACAUUUUUAGGCAGGACAUUAAAAAGCCCUUCCCAAAUUUUGUAUUGGCCAAUAACCCGACAAAAUUAACUUGACAGCACACGUCAAACGGGUUGCAUAUGAGCGAGAUGCCUGUUUUAUUCGCCCGGGUUAUUAAUUUUAAAAUUAACAGUUGUCAAUCCGUACCUUUUCUUUUCGGCGGAUAAGAAAAUGACAGGUAUAACUUAAAAUAAAAUUAGGAUGUGUGCAGGAAUCGGGGUCAAUAUCAACAAAUUAAAAAAGAAACCAAUUUCAAAUAGCAAUAAGGGACUUUCCAGACAAAAUUCACAUAAAAAGGGUCAUCAUUUAUACCCAAAAAACAAAGAUGAAUGAUGCAUAUGUCUGUUAUCCUUGAAAUUAGAAGGUUAAAGAGAAAAGCUGUACAGCGCCCUCUAUGUUCUUCGUCUUAUCGUGUGCGUUAUGAGGUGGAAUACCAGACUCACUCAUCAACCCUGGUGUCAGGGUUAUGAUUGAGCCGCCAAAUGCUCCUGACAUGGCUCAUGUAACGAUUACUCACUUACACCAAUAGUAACCGGGACCAACGGCUUAACGUGCCUUCCGAAGCACAGAUCAUCUAUAUUAAUUUUGAGGAAGGCGCCCUGCAAAGUCCCGCAUUGCUUCUAAGGGUGGUAUUAAUAAACUAAUCUCAGCUUCGAGACUGCCCUCAAGAUCAUGUCAAUGUGACAGUUCUCAUAUAAAAACAGAGACUCGAGCAUGAUCUUGAGGGCAGUCUCAGCUGAGAUUCGUUUAUAAAUACCACCCUAAGUGGCCUUUCUGGCCGCCAGGUUAGAUUGUGAUCAAACGCCAACUUAUUUAUAUUAAAAAAGUAUCGAUAGUCGAUAUUUUUACAACACUAGUGUUAAGCACUAAUGAGUCUGUACAUAAACUAGGGGGUUAAAAUGGCCACAUCGAAGCAAUUCAUCUAAGAAAGUAAUAUUGCUAUUUAAAACACAUAAUAAAGGGUUCUUACCGCGUUUAAAUGGGGAUAUGAGACUCCCGAUAUUUCGACACUGUUGCAAGUGCCAUGAUCACGGGAUGACUGAUGAGAUUGGAGUGGAGUAGGUAGAUCCAUAUUUUUUUACGGGCAGACAUAUCUGUCUACCCUCUUUCUUUGCCGCUUGUUUAUGUAUUUGAUAUCGGAAUGUUCGGAACCAUCUGAACUCGCACAAAACUCACUACGUCGAAAUAUCGCGAGUCUCAUAUCCCUAUUUCAAACGCAGUAAGAACCCGUUAUUAUGUGUUUUAAUUAUGAUAAUAACCGCGUUAACUUAAAACAAAGUAAGUGCUAUUUGACAUUUGUUUGCAUUGCGCACUUACUUUUAUAUGCGUAAAUGUCAAAUUGCAAUAUUGCUUUCUUAGAUGAAUUGCUUCUAUGUGGCCAUUUUAACCCCCCUGAACGUCUCUGGCACAUUGUAAUAACACAUUUCGUAUGUCGCGUUCAUUAUAAUUAAUUUAUUUAGAAUAAUAAUUGUAGAUAAGAUUCAUUUAUCAACCUCAAAAGCAAAAUAAAAGUUAUUGAAAAUGUU
rnacentral:lncRNA from 1 species